GCACAGACAAAAACAUUGGAUUUUUAUUACAUUUUGUUACAAAGAAUGCAAAGAUACAAAGACAAAAGCGUCCAGCCAGAGAGGAUGGGCAGGGGCCGGCUGAGUGCACCCUGAGCCGCCCGCCCCCACCUGCCGCGGGCUCCCAUGCACAUGGCCCACGGGACAUCCAUAGGAGAGUGUACAUGCGGGGUGGGCAGAGCCAGCCUGGGGACAGAGGGACACAGGCGGGGCAGGGCUCGGACCAGUGGGUUUGCAUAUAUCAGUGGUGCUGCCCCGCUCCUCAGGGGGCAGUUUCCUACGGGGGCAUGGCGGGAUAAGUAGACCUCAGCUGCCAAAGCCCUCCCUCCCAGGGCCUGGUGGCGAAGGCCACGGCUGUGUCCCCUUGUCCCCAAUGGGCAAGAGGUCAGAAAUGACAGGCUAGGAUGAGCUGGGCAUUGAUUGCCCCUAAAUUCCAGGACCCUUUAAGACAGGGGCAACUCUCUGCCCCCUGCACAUGCCUCAUUUCCCUGGCUCCUCGGGCUGGGUGUUGAGGGCUGGCCAGGAGAACAGAAGGUGGAGGGGGCUGUGGAGUCAGCAUCACCCUGACAUCUAGCCCCUGCCCACCACCCUGCCUGGGAGGAAUGUGGGGCCCCAAGACCUGCAAAUGACAAGAGGGAAACUGAGGCCCGGGUCAUAAGGGUCUUGUUCCUGCCCCCCCCAUGUCCUCUGGAGUACCCCACAGCCAAGACCUGGGGGUGCAGAUCACCCCACCUCCCUCUCCUGGGACUGGUCUCAGGGGCAGAACUGUGUCUGGUGUCAGUCGCCUGCGGCAGCCCCAGGAUCACAAAAGGUGCCUGAGCCCACCAGCCAGGACCCCUGGAGGCUGAGGGCUGAGGGAAGCCCAAGAGAGUUGGCUCAGGCAGAGCUGGCAGGACAGGGCCUGACAGGGAAUGUCCCAGGGUCCCCUAGUCACAUGCUGUGAGAUUCCCCAGGAGGCAGGGGCCCAGGGUUCAAGAACAGGGGCAGAAACAGACCCAGCUGCCCACUCACCCAGCGGGCACCUAGUCCUCCCCCAGCUCUGCAGGCAUGUGGCAAGAGCUCAGGUGGCCUCGGCUCCCUCAUGCGGCGCCACCUACAGGGGUGAUGGCCCAGGACGAGGAGCGCCUCAUACCCUUGACCUUGUGGCCUCCACACCCCAUCCUCACGCCGAGGAGCCCCUUGGCCUCCGAGUGUGGCUCCCUCAGAACCCAGGAAGGGCUGCGGGUGCUGCUGCUGCUUUGUCAGGGCCGGGGGGUUGACCCCCAAUACUGCCUGGCUUCCCCGUGUAGCGUGCACCCGGGG
rnacentral:lncRNA from 1 species